CUGAUUCAAUUUUUAAAGAAACAUUCCUUAUGUACAAUAUAACACAAUUGGCUUUAAAGAAUACCACAAGUUCUAAAAAAAGGAAUACUUCAGGAGAAUAGCCAGGCAAAUCCACAAUGACAAAUACUUGUCAAGAUUUUCAGGAUCACACGUACUUGUGAGAGUGGAGUCUAGGGAAGCAGAGAACAGAAACAGAAGUUUGCCUGCAGACAUUGUGUUGGGAGCUGACAGCGAACUCAUGUGGAAGAAUGAAUACUGCCUAUGGAACCUGGAGAAGAUAGUAGCAGCAACAGUGAUGACCUAAAAGCAAUGACAGUGCUAAAUGUUUGGUAUAAAAAUUUU